UAAGCGGAGGAAAAGAAACUAACAAGGAUUCCCCUAGUAACUGCGAGUGAAGCGGGAAAAGCUCAAAUUUAAAAUCUGGUGGUCUUUGGCCAUCCGAGUUGUAAUUUAGAGAAGCGUCUUCCGCGCUGGACCGUGCACAAGUCUCCUGGAAUGGAGCGUCAUAGAGGGUGAGAAUCCCGUCUUUGGCACGGACACACCAGGGCUUUUGUGAUGCGCUCUCGAAGAGUCGAGUUGUUUGGGAAUGCAGCUCAAAAUGGGUGGUGAACUCCAUCUAAAGCUAAAUAUUGGCGAGAGACCGAUAGCGAACAAGUACCGUGAGGGAAAGAUGAAAAGCACUUCGGAAAGAGAGUGAAACAGUACGUGAAAUUGUUGAAAGGGAAACGCUUGAAGUCAGUCACGUCGACCGAGACUCAGCCUUGCCUCGGCUUGGUGUACUUCUCGGCUGACGGGUCAGCAUCAAUUUCGCCCCUUGGAUAAUGGCGAGGGAAAUGUGACACCUUUACGGUGUGUUAUAGUCUCUCGUCGCAUGCAAGGGUUGGGAUUGAGGAACUCAGCACGCGCCUUUUGGCGUCGGGGCUCUGCCCACGAUACGUGCUUAGGAUGUUGGCAUAAUGGCUUUAAACGACC
rnacentral:rRNA from 1 species